UGCUGCACACAUGUUAUUGGGGAUUUUUUUAAUUGUUGUUAUUAUUUUUCCUCUCUAGGUUGAUUCUUCACGUGGAUCAGAAGCAACCAGCAAUGAACUCCUGAAAUCUUUGUUUACUGCCUUUGAGGAACCUUUGUACCCUUGCCAUUUCUCCAUGAGGUGUGUCCCCAGAUCACUUUCUGGAUGGCAGGCAAUGGCCGCUAGAAGUUCAGUUUUGUGCCCUGCUUUUAGUUUGUGUUUCAUGGAAUGGAAGAAAAGAUGAGGAAUGCCUCUGGUUUAGAGAAGGAGCCACAUUAUAACAGAAGAGAACAAUGACACACAAAAAUCAGGAGUACUUCCUUCAGAAGAAAGGCAGCUGGAGCCUUUGAAAUUGACAUAGUUUUAGUCAAAAAGAAGAAAAGAAAGAUCUCCGAAAUAUACAAUUCCAUACAUGCAAGAGAAGUGAAGACAUGUGAUGAUAUUUUUCCAGCCGAAGGCCUUAGCCAAACCAAAGUCAUUUUAAUUUUUCAUAGGCUUUUACAUUUUUGAUGACAACAUCUUGGUUGAGGAGUCACAAAUGUCUGAAAAAGAAGUCGCUAGGAUGGUUGCACUGUGAAAAUCUUUGAGAAAGUCAGUACGUUUUGAAUUGACAUUGUAUCUCCACUGUUUUCAAAUGUUCAGCCAAUGCCAAUUAAACAAAAUAAAGAUGUAUGUUGU
rnacentral:lncRNA from 1 species